rnacentral:rRNA from 1 species
GCUAGCUACAGGCUUAACACAUGCAAGUCGAGGGGCAGCAUGGUCUUAGCUUGCUAAGGCCGAUGGCGACCGGCGCACGGGUGAGUAACACGUAUCCAACCUGCCGUCUACUCUUGGACAGCCUUCUGAAAGGAAGGUUAAUACAAGAUGGCAUCAUGAGUCCGCAUGUUCACAUGAUUAAAGGUAUUCCGGUAGACGAUGGGGAUGCGUUCCAUUAGAUAGUAGGCGGGGUAACGGCCCACCUAGUCUUCGAUGGAUAGGGGUUCUGAGAGGAAGGUCCCCCACAUUGGAACUGAGACACGGUCCAAACUCCUACGGGAGGCAGCAGUGAGGAAUAUUGGUCAAUGGGCGAGAGCCUGAACCAGCCAAGUAGCGUGAAGGAUGACUGCCCUAUGGGUUGUAAACUUCUUUUAUAAAGGAAUAAAGUCGGGUAUGGAUACCCGUUUGCAUGUACUUUAUGAAUAAGGAUCGGCUAACUCCGUGCCAGCAGCCGCGGUAAUACGGAGGAUCCGAGCGUUAUCCGGAUUUAUUGGGUUUAAAGGGAGCGUAGAUGGAUGUUUAAGUCAGUUGUGAAAGUUUGCGGCUCAACCGUAAAAUUGCAGUUGAUACUGGAUAUCUUGAGUGCAGUUGAGGCAGGCGGAAUUCGUGGUGUAGCGGUGAAAUGCUUAGAUAUCACGAAGAACUCCGAUUGCGAAGGCAGCCUGCUAAGCUGCAACUGACAUUGAGGCUCGAAAGUGUGGGUAUCAAACAGGAUUAGAUACCCUGGUAGUCCACACGGUAAACGAUGAAUACUCGCUGUUUGCGAUAUACUGCAAGCGGCCAAGCGAAAGCGUUAAGUAUUCCACCUGGGGAGUACGCCGGCAACGGUGAAACUCAAAGGAAUUGACGGGGGCCCGCACAAGCGGAGGAACAUGUGGUUUAAUUCGAUGAUACGCGAGGAACCUUACCCGGGCUUAAAUUGCAGAUGAAUUACGGUGAAAGCCGUAAGCCGCAAGGCAUCUGUGAAGGUGCUGCAUGGUUGUCGUCAGCUCGUGCCGUGAGGUGUCGGCUUAAGUGCCAUAACGAGCGCAACCCUUGUUGUCAGUUACUAACAGGUCAUGCUGAGGACUCUGACAAGACUGCCAUCGUAAGAUGUGAGGAAGGUGGGGAUGACGUCAAAUCAGCACGGCCCUUACGUCCGGGGCUACACACGUGUUACAAUGGGGGGUACAGAGGGCCGCUACUACGCGAGUGGAUGCCAAUCCCCAAAACCUCUCUCAGUUCGGACUGGAGUCUGCAACCCGACUCCACGAAGCUGGAUUCGCUAGUAAUCGCGCAUCAGCCACGGCGCGGUGAAUACGUUCCCGGGCCUUGUACACACCGCCCGUCAAGCCAUGGGAGCCGGGGGUACCUGAAGUGCGUAACCGCGAGGAGCGCCCUAGGGUAAAACUGGUGACUGGGGCUAA